rnacentral:rRNA from 1 species
UACGUAGGGUGCGAGCGUUGCCCGGAUUUAUUGGGCGUAAAGGGCGCGUAGGCGGCCACGCACGUCCGUUGUGAAAUCGCCCGGCUCAACUGGGCGGGGUCAGCGGAUACGGUGUGGCUCGAGCAAGCUAGGGGGCAAUGGAAUUCCCGGUGUAGUGGUGAAAUGCGUAGAUAUCAGGAGGAACACCUGCGGUGUAGGCAGCUUUCUGGACCACUUCUGACGCUGAGACACGAAAGCGUGGGUAGCAAACAGG